GAUGAACGCUGGCGGCGUGCCUAAUACAUGCCAGUCGAGCGAACGGACGAGAAGCUUGCUUCUCUGAUGUUAGCGGCGGACGGGUGAGUAACACGUGUAUACCCUACCUAUAAGACUGGGAUAACUUCGGGAAACCGGAUCUAAUACCGGAUAAUAUUUUGAACCGCAUGGUUCAAAAGUGAAAGACGGUCUUGCUGUCACUUAUAGAUGGAUCCGCGCUGCAUUAGCUAGUUGGUAAGGUAACGGCUUACCAAGGCAACGAUGCAUAGCCGACCUGAGAGGGUGAUCGGCCACACUGGAACUGAGACACGGUCCAGACUCCUACGGGAGGCAGCAGUAGGGAAUCUUCCGCAAUGGACGAAAGCCUGACGGAGCAACGCCGCGUGAGUGAUGAAGGUCUUCGGAUCGUAAAACUCUGUUAUUAGGGAAGAACAUAUGUGUAAGUAACUGUGCACAUCUUGACGGUACCUAAUCAGAAAGCCACGGCUAACUACGUG
rnacentral:rRNA from 1 species